rnacentral:rRNA from 1 species
UACGGGGGGGGCAAGCGUUGUUCGGAAUUACUGGGCGUAAAGGGCUCGUAGGCGGCCCGCUAAGUCAGACGUGAAAUCCCUCGGCUCAACCGGGGAACUGCGUCUGAGACUGGCAGGCUUCGAAUCCGGGAGAGGGAUGCGGAAUUCCAGGUGUAGCGGUGAAAUGCGUAGAUAUCUGGAGGAACACCGGUGGCGAAGGCGGCAUCCUGGACCGGCAUUGACGCUGAGUGAGCGAAAGCCAGGGGAGCAAACGGG